GGAGCCUGGAGAUGGUUGUCUUACAGAAAAGACAAUUUACUUUAUCUAACUUGCUCUGUUUCCAGUUACAAUAAGUGACAAUAGAAACAUCACUGACAAGAAUGUCACCAACUAUUUACUGCAAGCCUUAUCCCCACAAAAUGUCUCCAUGGGAGAAUGGAAGGUGGCAAACAGAGAGAACUGCAGUUCUAUUAACACAGCAGUAUUAAAUGACACUCAGAAAGCAGCAAACUGGACAUCUCCAGGCAGUAACGUACCUUCCGUGGAAAUAAGGGCAUAUAUCAUCUUUGCUGAUAAAUCCGCCAAGUUCAAGACUGUGACUCUGAACAAAGAACUGGAAACAACCACAGCACCACCAACCACCACCUUCAACUCCGUCUCCAUGGUUCAGAGCAGCUCCUUUUUCAUAGCUAUCAUCCAGCUGCCACUGCUCCUCCUUGUCACAGUCAAAAUGCUCUCCUAGAAGCCAGGAGGAAGAGACGACCCAGCUUCGCUGCACCUUUCCUCCUUGCUGGUGGUACGCAGGGGAGGACAGGCAGAUGAUCUACUCAGGAAAACUAUUCACCACUUCUGUGUAUUAGGAUGGUAACUGAAGUUUUACAUCAAAUUAUAAUGGUCUAUUUGACCCAGAGCUGAUCCUCCCCUCACUCCCCUCGCCCAGGGCCAGCAAUCUGAGCAAGAUGAAAUGUUUUAUAGCAAGUCACAGAUCACUCUGUUCUAGAUUUUCUGCUAGAAAAGUGUAACAUGGUCAAGAGCAGACCCUGUCUAGCAAAGGAACACUGCAUGAGUUAAUUCCUUCCUCAUCACCUGGGGUUCUGUGAAGCACAAAAUAUCAUGAAAAUGCUUGAGAGGGAAAAGGCCCUCUUCUCAUCAGAGAGAAGCUCAGAGAGGUCUGCUUUUGGCUGUGCAGCCUGGGACCUGCCCUCACACCAUGCAGGUUUUUGUGCGCAUGUGUCUCAGUGACAGUCUGGCACAGUAUAUGCACCAAAACUGUUGGAAGCAGAAUUGAGACUGGGAGGGGGAAUGAGGAUUCAUGCACCUCGACCAGUUUAAAAGCUCCAGUGCAAGUACAGAGAAAAUAAGCACACCCACCAACCCUCCACCUGGGGAGGUGACCCUCUCUCCAAGACAAGCUGGAGAUCUUGCUGGCAGGGUAUCCUCCAUAAAGGCCCAGGCCUUUGGACUUUAUGCUCCAUGUUAUUAUUUGGUCCAGCAUUCCCUAAAUUUAGUUAUUUCAGUGGAUGCCUUACAAAGUGUCUCUGGUUUCCUUCUGGCUUUCUGGAGUGGCGGGAUGGGUGGUUUUUAUUCUUGUUUUUUAAUCAACAGCUGAUUUUGCUGUAGGGCAAGAUUGUGUGGGUCACUCAAUGUCUUGAUUUUAUUCAUAUUGUUUGUAUUUUUAUAUGGAUUGCGUUUUUUUUAGACAUUUUCAAACUUCUGGAAAGUAAUUUUUUCU
rnacentral:lncRNA from 1 species